AUACGGAGGAUGCGAGCGUUAUCCGGAUUUAUUGGGUUUAAAGGGUGCGUAGGCUGUGCGUUAAGUCAGGGGUGAAAUGCCGUCGCUCAACGACGGAGCUGCCCUUGAUACUGGCGUGCUGGAGUACGGAUGCCGUUGGAGGAAUGAGUGGUGUAGCGGUGAAAUGCUUAGAUAUCACUCAGAACACCGAUUGCGAAGGCACCUGACGAAUCCGUCACUGACGCUGAGGCACGAAAGCGUGGGGAUAGAACAGGAUUAGAUACCCUGGUAUUCCACGCCGUAAACGAUGAUGACUAACCGUCGGCGAUAGACAGCCGGUGGCCAAGCGAAAGCGAUAAGUCAUCCACCUGGGGAGUACGUCGGCAACGAUGAAACUCAAAGGAAUUGACGGGG
rnacentral:rRNA from 1 species